CAUAUGCUUCUAUAUAUGUUAGACAUCUUAAUAUACCCUGGGUUAGCGGCAGCGUAAGAUGGUGUUUAAGAAGAAAGGCUCUGCAAGACUCCGUCUCAAAAAAAGAAAAAUAAAAAAAAGAAGAAGAAAGGCUCUGGAGGCAGAUAUACUGCAGCCAGAUCCCGGCCCAAUAGCUGGAGGGCCAGAAGGUGGGGCGGUACCUCAGGAUAAUGGCAGCAGAAGGCAAAGGGAGCAGACAGCUGGCAAGCUCUGUCCCAAUAUGCUUCCCUGAAAGAGGCGAGGAAAUUUCAGAAGAUGCAAUGCCUGAAUGGCUCACUUUGCAGGAAAACAGAAGAACCAAGAGUGAACAGGAAACCUACAGAAUAGGAGAAAAUUUUUGCAAUCUACUCAUCUGACAAAAGGCUAAUAUCCAGAAUCUACAAAGAACUCAAACAAAUUUACAAGCACAAAACGAACAACCCCAUCAACAAGUGGGCAAAGGACAUGAACAGACACUUCUCAAAAGAAGACAUUUAUGCAGCCAACAGACACAUGAAAAAAUGCUCAUCAUCACUGCCCAGCUAAAUCUUGACUUCUAUUGAAGAAGUGAAGGAUGGAUUUUGUAAGCCUACCAGCAGCCAAAGGAGACUAAGAGGAGUCAUUCAGGAAUAUGAGGGUUAUGAAGACAGUGGUGUCCCAGAAACCAAGGAGAAGAGGAUGUUGCAUGAAGAAGGAGAUGAUGGUUUCACUUUGGUUACAUUUAUCCAAAUGCCCCGUCCAACUCUUCAGUGUCCCUAGUAAAAUCUGGUAUAGAGAUGGACACUGUUUUUUAGGUGAGGCCUGCUGAGUGUGGAGAGUUGUGAAAAAUUUUUCCCUUAAAUUGAGAAUGUUUUAAAUAAUGCAGCCUAUGUUUUCUUUAAGUAACAAGGCCAUCCCACUGACUCACACUGAUCUUGUUCUCAGCAAAAAACUCCCUGCUCUUCCUCAUAUUAAUUGCCAUAAAAACAAGUCACUUCUAUCAUGCAUUUGGCUCAUUGAGUUAUGAAAAUAUGUAGGUAUUUCGUUUCUUUUUAUGUAAAUUUAUGCUGGUUUUAGUCCAUCAUUUGAAGUCCAGAAGUCUUCUGGAACUUAACUGUGUCUGUAUUAGUUGUCUUUUCCAUCUUGUGGUUUAUGGUAAAAUUAAUAAAAGGCCUUGCAAACCAGUAACAACAGCUGCCGUUUACUGUGUGCCUAUUGCUCAAUGCCUGUUGAUAGAGUCCACUGGGGUGCUGGCUGGCUGCCCUCUCAUUUAAUUUUUGAACAUUCUCAUAAGGUCAUUUUGUUUGUUUGUUUUCUGGCCUGAGUAUUGUAUUAAUUACAUAAAAGAAAACUUUGGGGAAAUAUUGUUAAUUUUUGACAGGAUUUUCCAACACUAAUACUAGUACUGUUAUUACAGCUACCAUACAACUCUGACCACUAAAGAAUUUUUGUUUUUAAGAAUUUGGAAAUUAUUUUAUUAUGAUAUCAUUUAUGUACAUUAAAAUUCAUUCUCAUUGGUGCACAGUUCUAUUUGUUUUGACAAGCUCACACAGUCAUGUAACCAUCACCACAAUCAAAAUAUAGAACAGUUUUAAUAACAAUUUCUUUAUGUUCUUUAUAGUCAUACCUUCCCUCACCCACUUUAUGUCCCUAACAUUUUGCCUUUUCCAAAAAUGGAACAUAAAUUGAAUUAUAUUGUAUGUAGC
rnacentral:lncRNA from 1 species